CAGUCAAACCAUGCUGAAAAAAAUCGGUUCUCGUUCGAUCACUGAAGUUAAGCAGUAUUGAGUUUGGUCAUUACUUAGAUGGGGGGCCGUUUGAGAACACCGGGUACUGUAAG